CGCAUACGUCCUACGGGAGAAAGGGGGCUCCGGCUCCCGCUAUUGGAUGAGCCUAUGUCGGAUUAGCUAGUUGGUGAGGUAAUGGCUCACCAAGGCAACGAUCCGUAGCUGGUCUGAGAGGAUGAUCAGCCACAUCGGGACUGAGACACGGCCCGAACUCCUACGGGAGGCAGCAGUGGGGAAUAUUGGACAAUGGGCGAAAGCCUGAUCCAGCCAUGCCGCGUGUGUGAAGAAGGCCCUCGGGUUGUAAAGCACUUUCAGCGAGGAAGAACGCCUAGUGGUUAAUACCCAUUAGGAAAGACAUCACUCGCAGAAGAAGCACCGGCUAACUCCGUGCCAGCAGCCGCGGUAAUACGGAGGGUGCAAGCGUUAAUCGGAAUUACUGGGCGUAAAGCGCGCGUAGGUGGCUUGAUAAGCCGGUUGUGAAAGCCCCGGGCUCAACCUGGGAACGGCAUCCGGAACUGUCAAGCUAGAGUGCAGGAGAGGAAGGUAGAAUUCCCGGUGUAGCGGUGAAAUGCGUAGAGAUCGGGAGGAAUACCAGUGGCGAAGGCGGCCUUCUGGACUGACACUGACACUGAGGUGCGAAAGCGUGGGUAGCAAACAGGAUUAGAUACCCUGGUAGUCCACGCCGUAAACGAUGUCGACCAGCCGUUGGGUGCCUAGCGCACUUUGUGGCGAAGUUAACGCGAUAAGUCGACCGCCUGGGGAGUACGGCCGCAAGGUUAAAACUCAAAUGAAUUGACGGGGGCCCGCACAAGCGGUGGAGCAUGUGGUUUAAUUCGAUGCAACGCGAAGAACCUUACCUACUCUUGACAUCCUGCGAACUUGUGAGAGAUCACUUGGUGCCUUCGGGAACGCAGAGACAGGUGCUGCAUGGCUGUCGUCAGCUCGUGUUGUGAAAUGUUGGGUUAAGUCCCGUAACGAGCGCAACCCUUGUCCUUAUUUGCCAGCGGGUAAUGCCGGGAACUCUAAGGAGACUGCCGGUGACAAACCGGAGGAAGGUGGGGACGACGUCAAGUCAUCAUGGCCCUUACGAGUAGGGCUACACACGUGCUACAAUGGCCGGUACAAAGGGUUGCGAGCUCGCGAGAGUCAGCUAAUCCCGAAAAGCCGGUCUCAGUCCGGAUCGGAGUCUGCAACUCGACUCCGUGAAGUCGGAAUCGCUAGUAAUCGUGAAUCAGAAUGUCACGGUGAAUACGUUCCCG
rnacentral:rRNA from 1 species